rnacentral:rRNA from 1 species
GAUGAACGCUGACAGAAUGCUUAACACAUGCAAGUCAACUUGAAUUUGGGUUUUUAACUUAGAUUUGGGUGGCGGACGGGUGAGUAACGCGUAAAGAACUUGCCUCACAGCUAGGGACAACAUUUAGAAAUGAAUGCUAAUACCUGAUAUUAUGAUUUUAAGGCAUCUUAGAAUUAUGAAAGCUAUAAGCACUGUGAGAGAGCCUUGCGUCCCAUUAGUUAGUUGGAGAGGUAACAGCUCACCAAGGCGAUGAUGGGUAGCCGGCCUGAGAGGGUGAACGGCCACAAGGGGACUGAGACACGGCCCUUACUCCUACGGGAGGCAGCAGUGGGGAAUAUUGGACAAUGGACCGAGAGUCUGAUCCAGCAAUUCUGUGUGCACGAUGAAGUUUUUCGGAAUGUAAAGUGCUUUCAGUUGGGAAGAGAAAAAUGACGGUACCAACAGAAGAAGUGACGGCUAAAUACGUGCCAGCAGCCGCGGUAAUACGUAUGUCACGAGCGUUAUCCGGAUUUAUUGGGCGUAAAGCGCGUCUAGGUGGUUAUGUAAGUCUGAUGUGAAAAUGCAGGGCUCAACUCUGUAUUGCGUUGGAAACUGUAUAACUAGAGUACUGGAGAGGUAAGCGGAACUACAAGUGUAGAGGUGAAAUUCGUAGAUAUUUGUAGGAAUGCCGAUGGGGAAGCCAGCUUACUGGACAGAUACUGACGCUAAAGCGCGAAAGCGUGGGUAGCAAACAGG